AAAUCCUUUUAACAGGAAGUACUGGUGACCUUGAGCCACAACUAGCAGUGCUAACGCUUUGUCGCCGUGGCAUAUCUGCCCACCAAAGUGAGACCCCGCUGCCUGAGAGCUAUCUUCUUUUGCGAGCGCUGCUAAGUACGCCAGGAUUAACGGAGAUAUGGACCAACUGAUCAGCUGUUGCGAAUGCAAGUGCUGCAGUGGUGCUCGGUAGUGGCUUCGUACUCAAGUGCGAAGGCUCUUUGUAUCUCCGGUGGCCGAAGAAGAGGUGUCGGUGCAGCAGCCUGAGCAACAGCCGUAACAGCAGCGAGGACCGGAGGAGCCUGUUGACGCUGCAGGGGCUUCGCGGUCUUCCGUUCCCGGAACUGCCGUCCAGAGUCCUUUUGAUUCCGGAGGUGUUGGCCUUACGCCAUCCGUGGGUGACGCAGACACGGAGGGUUUCCUUUCUGCCGUCAUGUCUCCAACGAGCAGCAGCAUGACCCAAGUCACUCCGAUGACAGGGUCUUCCGACAGCCGUGAAGAAAAAGCCACGCAGUACACCGGUAGCUCUAGCGGGCUGAGUUCUAGCACCUUUGGGAGUGAAGCCACCUUGCGAGUGCCUGCCACCAACGUGAAAACAGUGCCUUGAUCCGCCACGCUGUUCCAAGAUAAUUCCAAGGGCGGACUGUAGCGGCACCGGUGUUUCUUCUUCCGGCAUGCUCGUCAACUCCGAAUAUUACGCGUUGCACCACGUCUUAUCCAAUGUGGUUUUUAAUUUUUUUAAUCUCAAUAAAACCUUCCGCUUCUGCUA